GACAGAAUCUCUUCCAAGAGCUUGAUGCGGUUAUCCAUCUGCUUAUGGAAGCCAAGCAUUGGGGAUUGAGAAAGAGUAGAAAUGCCACAAGCCUCAAUAGCAGGUUUAAGAGCCUCGAUACGCUCAAAGUCAAAAUAAUCAGCGUGACAUUCAGAAGGGUAAUAAGAACGAACCAUAAAAGAUCGGAAGAGCGGUUCAGCAGGAA
rnacentral:rRNA from 1 species